GACGAACGCUGGCGGCGUGCUUAACACAUGCAAGUCGAACGGUGAAGGGAUCAGCUUGCUGGUUCUGGAUGAGUGGCGAACGGGUGAGUAACACGUGCAUAACCUGCUCCCUUCUUCUGGAUAACCGCAUGGAAGUGUGGCUAAUACGGGAUAUUCUGCGCCUGCUGCAUGGGGGGUGUGGGAAAGAUAUUGUUGCGGUGGGGGAUGGGGUCGCGGCCUAUCCGCUUGUUGGUGGGGUGAUGGCCUACCAAGGAGGUGCCGGGUAGCCGGCCUGAGAGGGUGGACGGUCAGACUGGGACCGCGAUACGGACUAGACCGGUACGGGAGGGAGCAGUGUGUAGUAUUGCAGAAUGGGGGCAAGUCUGAUGCAGCCACGCCGCGUGAGGGAUGGAUGCCGACGGGUUGUGAACCUCUUGCGACAGUGAAGCAGGCGUGUCCCUUGUGGGUGGGUUGACGGUAGCUGGAUAAGAAGCGCCGGCUAACUACGUG
rnacentral:rRNA from 1 species